UUAAUGUGGUGAUUGUGUGGAUGACAUUUCAUUGCUAUACGUGUAUAUAUAAAUAAAGGUGUCCUACAGAGUCCGUAGACAUAUUUCAAUUUACCCACGACAAAACUUCAUUGAAAAUGUUUGGAAGAGGAAUCAUUGUCAGCUUAUUGCUGUUUGCCUUUACAGAGAGAGCCGUCUCGCAAGCUUGCAGCAUUAUGGUCAUGAUGCCUUGCCUUGGAAUAAUGGCAGAAAUGGCACCACUUCAACAAGAAUUACAAGCGGCUGUAGCGGGGAGAAAUCAAGCCGAAUUUCUGAAACUAAUGCCCACAAUAUGCGGAAUCACCAGAAGAGGGAAGUCCUGUCUACAGUCCCUACCCUCCUCAUGUGACAAUAACACGCAGUACAAACAACUCUCCCUCGCCAUGCAAUCGCUUGCAAGACCAUGUGGUCUUCGAAAAUAAGGACAAGCAAAUUUGAGGAAAUCAUCACCACAGGAAAGCUGACGAAUGAUUUUAAACAAAGUCAUAAAAAUGUGAUUUCUGUGAAAUAAAGGAUGAGAUCUAA